rnacentral:rRNA from 1 species
UGUCUUUUGGCUCGCCGGGCUGCCCCUGGAUACUGCUUAACUUGAGUCUCUUAGGGAGGGUAGAUUCCAGUGUACCGGUGAAUCGUAGGAUCUGGAGGAUACCGGUGGCGAAGGCGGCCCCCUGGACCAAAACUGACGCUCAGGUGCGAAAGCGUGGGGAGCAAACAGGUUACAUACCCUGUAGUCCACGCCGUAAACGAUGUCGACUUGCAGGUUGUGCCCUUGAGGCCUGUCUUCCGGAGCUAACGCGUUAAGUCGACCGCCUGGGGAGUACCGCGGCAAGGUUAAAACUCUUAUGA